rfam:Gossypium hirsutum cultivar TM-1 chromosome 11, whole genome shotgun sequence
UAACCCUGGUGAGGGCAUCUUCGUAAAAGGUCCUUAUAUCUCUCCCACGCAUCGUAGAGUGUUUCUAAAUCCAUCUGUGCAAAAGAAGAGAUAUCAUUACGAAUUUA